rnacentral:rRNA from 1 species
AGUGGCGCACGGGUGCGUAACGCGUAUACAAUCUACCUUUUGCUGAGGGAUAGCCCAGAGAAAUUUGGAUUAAUACCUCAUGGUAUUAUUGAUAGGCAUCUAUUAAUAAUUAAAGGUUACGGCAAAAGAUGAGUAUGCGUCCCAUUAGCUAGUUGGCGAGGUAACGGCUCACCAAGGCAACGAUGGGUAGGGGUCCUGAGAGGGAGAUCCCCCACAUUGGGACUGAGACACGGCCCAAACUCC